UUGAGAAAAAUUAGCUUCCCUCAGGCUUCCUUUUGCUGGCUCCUCCCCCUCUCCCUGUCCUUUACUUGUUAAGAUUCCUAAGGGUCAAUCAUUAGAACUCAAUGAUUCUCCCUCCACAUUAUCCCUGGAAAUUUUCACCCAUACCCACAGCUUCCAUAACCACCAAUUCCCACAUGACCCAUGGUUUUCUGUGUUGAACCCAUAUGCCUCCUAGCCCCAUGCCCAUCAGCCCAGCUGCCUACUUAUCAUCUCCGUUGGAUAUCUCAAAGGCAUCUCAAAUUAACCAGGUCCAGAACCAAAUUCUCAUUUCCAUCUCCCAAUCCUCCAGACAAAGAAACAAUAAAAAAAGACAAGACUCUUCUCCUAGUGUUUCCUAACUUCCUGAAUGAUACCAACCAGGUGGAUAAGCAGAAACCAGAACCCAUCGUGGACAUCAUCUUUUCCAUGCUAUUUCCCAUAGCCAAACUAGCACCAGAUCAUAUUAAUUUACCUGCUGAAUACCUUUCAGAUCCUUCAGCUCUUCAUGUGUUUCCCAUCACAGGCCUUUCACUUGAUGUUCCAUGGCCUAGAAAGCUCAUCCUUCCCUCUCCUGGCUACCUGGUCAAUGAUCAGGUCAAUGAUAACAGGCUACAGAAGCUUUUGAUAAUAAAGGCAAAGAAACCAGAACACCACUCCCGCACUGAUAAAUGACUGUGGAGAUCUAUAUUCCUGAAAUCAUGCUGAAAAGACUCUAUUUUCUUUAGGAAAAUGUUUCCCAGCCCUUAAUCAAUUCAUUGAAAACCAAAUCCCAGAGAGGUAAUUCCACAGACUCACUUUUAGGCAAGUUGACUUGCUUCCAUGUUUCUCCAAGUGUGAUCCUGAUCCCUGGGUCACCUAUAUUAGAGUGUUUAUUAGAAACACAAGCUAUCCCAGACCUAGAGACCCAGGAACCUGAAUCUUAACUAUCCCCAGGUGAUUCAGAUGCAAGCUAAAAUUUGAAAUCAAGACUGCGGUUCUAGAGAGUAGACUACCAUGCUUUGCAACUAUCUUGAGCCAGCCUUCAUUUGUCUAGCAACACUUGAGCAAUGACAAGUACCUGCCAACCACUGUUGUCAAAACUUCUCUCCUGGGAAAACAAAAGUCAUGACGUUUUGAGCACAAUUGUGUAUGGGAUGCAUUCAUCAAUAGAGUUGGAAGCACCAAACACCAUAGGAGAGGAAACUUUUAGUUACAAGCACAUAAAUAAAUAAAAUCAAACUCAACAGGAAUGACGUUCCUGAGGAUGGAGAUACAUUUUUUUUUGUUGACCCAUUUAAACUUGAACAUCAAGUGAUAAUCAGUCUCCAGUCAGAAAGUCCCAGGACUUAUAGGAGCAGAAAUCAGAAGACUUUACUCCACAAGCUUCAGGUGGACAUGUGGACAAAGCCAUUUGAGAACAUGACAAAAAUACAGCAAGAGCAGAGACAAGAUCAGAUCAUCCUGGGGGCAGAUGCUGGGCUCUUACCAAUUUGAGAGAGAAAAGGAAAAACAACCCGGCUACAAGAUGUACAAGUAGCAGGCCACAGCCACCAACAUCAGCAGAGCAAUUGGAGGCCAGGAAGACAAGGACGCUUCUGAAGAGACUGAAAAAAGUAGAAGACAGUCCAAGUCACUGCCAGGUUCCAAGGUCUCUUUCGUCAUUAUUGUUACAAGUACCAAGUCAGCCAAAAUCCACUCCACUCUUCAAAACCAUCUUGAAGAGUUGCAGGUCAGGGUUGCUGCAUCUGAGCAUGUUUACUCACAAAAGGUUACAGAUGCUCCUCAACUUACAGUAGGAUUACAUCCUGAUAAAUGCGUCAUAAGUUGAAAAUAUCUCAUAAGUCGAAAAUGCAUUUACUACAGCCUAACCCACUGAACAUUGAAGCUUAGACUAGCAUACCUUAAAACGUGAUCAAGACACUUCCCUCAGCCUACAUUUGAGCAAAAUCACCUAACACGAAGCCUAUUUUAUAAUAGAGCAUUGAAUAGCUCACAUAAUUUAUUGAAUACUAUACAUUACAUAGAAUUUGUGACAGUUUCACACCAUCGUUAUGUCAAAAAAAUCAUUAAGUCGAGCCACCGUAACUCAGGGACUGUCUGUAUUUAUAUUUUUACUUCACGCUAAGCUUUGAAACUGAAAUUUUUGCUCCUCAGCAGAUGGAGUUUCUGAGAAAGACCAAAUUAGUUAUAGAGCACUAAAAAAAAAAAAGAAGAAGAAGAAGACAGAGGAGGAGGGCAACAUGGAGCAGAGGAAGAAGGAGAGACAAAGGAAGAAACCAUUAUUGCUCCCUCAUCUGAACUGCACUGCGAGUCAGCUGGGGCUUCUACCACAGUGUCCUGGAAGCCAUGUUUGCUGCCCAUUUCUGGACUCUCCAGCCACACUGGCCUCGUUUCCCUUUCUCAAACCUGCUGUGGUUCCUACCACUUCCAGAUAAUCUCUUAACAAUCUAUUCCUUCUGCCUGGAAUGCUCUUCCUCCCACCCAGCCCUGUCCUGCCCAGCUAACUCCAUUCUUUGGCCCCUGCAUCACUUUCCCAAGAAAGCCAUUUCUGAACUUCCCUGAUCCCUGCCUCCCAUCUUCACUGGCCCAGAGUUCCCUAUCCUAUAGUCUCAUCGCUCCAACCCAGGCAUUGCUGCCUCCCAGGACUCUUCCCCAUCGCUAAUAUAGUCCUGCUUGAUUGUUCAGUUAAUUUUGCCUCCCCUGAAGACCACAAGCCAUGUUGGCAAUGAUGAUCUUGCUCACCAUUGCACCUCCAGUGUCUAAAAACCAUAGGCAUGUCAAUUCAUUUUUGUUGAGUAAAGGAAUUGUUCAAUAAGUGCACAAAUAAAUUCACAUUAAAACUUGUCCAAAAACAAAGGAGUUUUCUUGUGAGAAGCAGCUGCUCAUUCUGGGGCAUUUGAGUGCAGUGAGAUGACGAUGACAACUAUUGGAGAUGCUUUCAAAGCGAUGCCGGCACUAGACAGAUGGCUGGAGUGCAUACCCUUUAAGGACUCACCUAUCUCAGAAGUCAUGUGUGUUUCUGUAGGUGUAAAUGCACAGAGAGACCGGAAGGAUAUGUGUUCAGCUUCUUUUCAGACUGUGAAGGUCCCUGCAACCAGAAGGAAAGCUGUCUUCAGGAAAGGAUAAAGGGAAUAAGCAUCUGUCUGUGACUCUGGUGGUUGUGCAGACUGGUCACCUCAAGGUGGAGUGACACUGUGGUGGGCAGUGGAGCACCAGUGAGGAAGCUCUCAUAGGCCUGAGCCAACUGAAUUAAUUAAGACCAAGAACAGUAAAGGGACCCAGAGGGCAAACUCUGAGAGGCAGUCAUAACCAGCACCCUCUCCCCAAACCAUAUUACUCAUUCCCACAGAAGUGUGUGUCUGCUUGCCUUUAAUCUGUUCUGACUGUAAGCCAUUUUGAGGUGGAUAUCCCAAUCCCAGUGAUGGCUACCAUGUUCUGCAUUGAGUAGAUGCUUGACACACAUCCAAUAAGUAAAAGCGAGU